rnacentral:rRNA from 1 species
CAGUCGCCACGGUAAUGCGAAGGGUGCAAGCGUUAAUCGGAAUUACUGGGCGUAAAGCGCACGUAGGCGGCUUGGUAAGUUAGAGGUGAAAGCCUGGAGCUCAACUCCAGAAUUGCCUUUAAGACUGCCGAGCUAGCAGGUGAGAGAGGUAAGUGGAAUUCCGAGUGUAGAGGUGAAAUUCGUAGAUAUUCGGAAGAACACCAGUGGCGAAGGCGGCUUACUGGCUCAUACUGGACGCUGAGGUGCGAAAGCGUGGGGAGCAAACAGGAUUAGAGACCCCAGUAGUCCCUGUCUCUUAUAC